GACGAAUGCUGGCGGCGUGCUUAACACAUGCAAGUCGAACGGUAAGGCCCUUCGAGGUACACGAGUGGCGAACGGGUGAGUAACACGUGGGUGAUCUGCCCUGCACUUCGGGAUAAGCCUGGGAAACUGGGUCUAAUACCGGAUAGGACCACUGCCUGCAUGGGUGGGGGUGGAAAGCUUUUGCGGUGUGGGAUGGGCCCGCGGCCUAUCAGCUUGUUGGUGGGGUGAUGGCCUACCAAGGCGACGACGGGUAGCCGGCCUGAGAGGGUGACCGGCCACACUGGGACUGAGAUACGGCCCAGACUCCUGCGGGAGGCAGCAGUGGGGAAUAUUGCACAAUGGGCGCAAGCCUGAUGCAGCGACGCCGCGUGAGGGAUGACGGCCUUCGGGUUGUAAACCUCUUUCAGCACCGACGAAGCGCAAGUGACGGUAGGUGCAGAAGAAGGACCGGCCAACUACGUGCCAGCCGCCGCAGUAA
rnacentral:rRNA from 1 species